UUAUUUGAAAAACCCUAAUUCCUGCCUGUCCCCCUGGGCCUCUCAUAGUGUCCCAUGCCAGAGCAAACUGUGACCCCGAACCAUUGCCUGGCCUGUGCCCAUAGGCUCCUGGCACUGAAGCGGGUUGCACAGUG
rnacentral:snoRNA from 1 species